UACGUAGGGGGCAAGCGUUGUCCGGAUUUAUUGGGCGUAAAGAGCGUGUAGGCGGUUUGGUAGGUCCGUUGUGAAAACUCGAGGCUCAACCUCGAGACGCCGAUGGAAACCCUCGAACUAGAGUCCGGAAGAGGAGAAUGGAAUUCCUGGUGUAGCGGUGAAAUGCGCAGAUAUCAGGAAGAACACCCGUGGCUAAGGCGGUUCUCUAGUACGGUACUGACGCUGAGACGCGAAAGCGUGGGGAGCGAACAGG
rnacentral:rRNA from 1 species